rnacentral:hammerhead_ribozyme from 1 species
AUCCAGUUGACGAGUUGCAAACAGAACUAAACGCGCGUCUUCGAU